rnacentral:tRNA from 1 species
AGAGGUUUGGUGUAGCGGUAGUCACGUUAGAAUUUGGCUCUAAAGGCGGGGGUUCGAUUCCCUCAACUUCUA